rnacentral:rRNA from 1 species
AUUGAACGCUGGCGGCAGGCCUAACACAUGCAAGUCGAGCGAGCGGCGGACGGGUGAGUAAUGUAUGGGGACUGCCCGAUAGAGGGGGAUAACUACUGGAAACGGUGGCUAAUACCGCAUACUAUCGGAUAACCCAUAUGGGAUUAGCUAGUAGGUGGGGAUAAGGCUCACCUAGGCGACGAUCUCUAGCUGGUCUGAGAGGAUGAUCCUCCACACUGGGCAUUAGACCCGGCCCCGCACCCUACGGGGGCAGCAUUGGGGAAUGUUUCACCAUGGGCGCAAGCCUGGUGCAGCCAACCCGCGUGUAUGAAGAAGGCCUUAGGGUUGUAAAGUACUUUCAGCUGGGAAACGUUACCCGCAGAAGAAGCACCGGCUAACUCCGUGCCAGCAGCCGCGGUAAUUC